CAAUAACGUAUAUUAAAGUUGUUGCGGUUAAAAAGCUCGUAGUUGGAUUUCUGUCGAAAUCGCUCGGUCCCCACACCGUGGGCGUAUCUGACGUGAUUUUGGCAUCCUCCUAAGGAACGUUUCUGCUCUUAGUUGAGUGGGGCGGGACCUAGGACUUUUACUUUGAGGAAAUUCGAGUGUUUACGGCAGGCAAUCGCCCUGAAGAUAUUAGCAUGGAAUAAUAAUAUAGGACCUUGGUCCCAUUUUGUUGGUUUCUGGAGCUGAGGUAAUGAUUAAUAGGGAUAUUUGGGGGGCAUUCGUAUUAACCGGUCAGAGGUGGAAUUCUUGGAUUCGGUUACGACGAACUACUGCGAAAGCAUUUGCCAAGAAUGUUUUCAUUGA
rnacentral:rRNA from 1 species